rnacentral:misc_RNA from 1 species
GAUGAAGAACGUAGCAAAAUGCGAUACUUGGUGUGAAUUGCAGAAUCCCGUGAACCAUCGAGUUUUUGAACGCAAGUUGCGCCCGAAACCAUCCGGUUGAGGGCACGCCUGCCUGGGUGUCACGCAUCGCGUCGUCCCCCAACAUACUCUCCCUUUCUGGGUUGUCAUGUUGAUUGGGGACGGAGACUGGCCUCCCGUGCUUCUGGUGCGGUUGGCCUAAAUAGGAGGCCCCUUCGGUGGAUACACGGCUAGUGGUGGUUGUUAAGACCCUCGUAUUGUGCUGUGUGUUGUGAGCUGUUAGGGAAACCCUCACCAAAGACCCUAUUGUAUCGUCUUGGUACGAUGCUUCGACCGCGACCCCAGGUCAGGCGGGACUACCCGCUGAGUUUAAGCAUAUCAAUAAGCGGAAGA